rnacentral:rRNA from 1 species
UCAGAUUGAACGCUGGCGGCAGGCCUAAUACAUGCAAGUCGAACGGUAACAUAGGAAAAGCUUGCUUUCCUGAUGACGAGUGGCGGACGGGUGAGUAAAGUUUGGGAAGCUACCUGAUAGAGGGGGACAACAGUUGGAAACGACUGCUAAUACCGCAUACAGCCUGAGGGUGAAAGCAGCAAUGCGCUAUCAGAUGCGCCCAAAUGGGAUUAGCUAGUAGGUGAGGUAAAGGCUCACCUAGGCGACGAUCUCUAACUGGUCUGAGAGGAUGAUCAGCCACAUUGGGACUGAGACACGGCCCAGACUCCUACGGGAGGCAGCAGUAGGGAAUAUUGCACAAUGGAGGAAACUCUGAAUGCAGCCAUGCCGCGUGUGUGAAGAAGGCCUUCGGGUUGUAAAGCACUUUCGGAGGGGAGGAGAAUGACGUUACCCUCAGAAGAAGCACCGGCUAACUCCGUGCCAGCCGCGGC